UUACUUCAGCAGCACACGUACUAACACUGGAACAAUACAGAGAAGAUUAGCAUGGCCCCGUGGAAGGAUGACACACAAAUUUGUGAAGCGUUCCAUAUUUUU